GGCUACACGACCCAGCGAACACCUGGUAAAUUGAUACCACUGCCCAUCCAACUUCCCAAACUGUUAUGUAAACAGUGUUCAGGAGACAUAGACUACCGAAAAGGGGGAAAAUUUGUAUGCUAACAGCCAGGGGGAGCAUUUGUUGGUUUUCGUGUUAGAACCCCUGAAAGAUGACCGACCGUUGCCUGAUUUUCUCGGGAACUGUUUUGGGCCAUCACCUCGUGGCUAACCGGUCAAAAAACUUAAUUCGAGGGGGGCGGGGGCGGGGCCGGGCGGCCAUGCUAGCAGGCUGCAAGUCACUAUGGCUCCUGAGGAAUCCAACUAAUUUUGAGC